GGGAGCUUACCUCAAUCUCUCCAGCUUCAAUUUGGAUAGGCGAGGACGGGGCAGCAGGAACAGAGGCUUGAGUGACCCAGCUCCCUCCAAUAGGAGCUCAGAAUCCGUGACUUUAAGACAUACUGGUUCGAAUAAUUUGCACAAGCAAUGAAUACGGUGCACAGAUCCGAGGUUCUGCCGAGCCUCAAAUCAUGCAGCAAGUAGCGUAAGAUCCCAGAGACCUACUCGGAGGUGCAACAGGAAGAAAACCCAAAGGAACCCUGUGCAACCCCACCUGGGUCUGGUGACUGUUGAUCUACUCCCUCGACACCUGAUCCCAGUUGUUUUCAGCUGGCUGAGACCACAUCAGAGAAGAGAUCAGAGUGAUUGGCCUCCUGAGAGGGGAGACUCCGGUGACAAGAGGCUUGCGAAUUAAGCUGUUGCCACUCAAGAAAUUAAUGAGGAAAAUGCUCUCUGAUUUGGAGUGUCUGAGGCGGAACAGAGACCCGGUUAGCUGCACCCACCAGACUGGAGCCUGUAAGGGGUGUGGAAAAAAAAUCUUACAAGUUGAGAUUUAAUCCAAAGUCUUGGAACUUAGAACAGCGUCCCUUGCGGGGCCACCAGCCGCGUGCGUGUAAAGGUAUCUUCUACCUCGGCCUUCUGGAACAUCCCAUCAACCAAACGCUACAGUCACCUCUGUGAUCCCUGCAUCUCACAGGCUGAGGAUUCUUCUAGGACCCCAGCGACCGGAAGUUC